GUGGUGUGUUAUAUAGACCUAUAAUCAUCUCGGUUGUGGCCACCUACCCUCUGCGGAGAGACUUCAUCCUAGCCUCCAUCAUGGACAUAUACAUGUCCCUCAUCUGGAAUGGCUCUGCCUGUUGUGCUAGCUCAUCCUACCGAGAUGCUUCUCUCCUAGGUCGUCUCCUAGGCAUUGGUCCAGCUGCCUCAUCUCCUCC
rnacentral:lncRNA from 1 species